rnacentral:rRNA from 1 species
UGGCGAACGGCUGAGUAACACGUGGGCAACCUGCCCUUUGCACUGGGAUAGCCUCGGGAAACCGAGGUUAAUACCGGAUACUCCAUAUUUGUCGCAUGGCGAAUAUGGGAAAGCUCCGGCGGCAAAGGAUGGGCCCGCGGCCUGUUAGCUAGUUGGUGGGGUAGUGGCCUACCAAGGCAAUGAUGGGUAGCCGGGUUGAGAGACCGACCGGCCAGAUUGGGACUGAGACACGGCCCAGACUCCUACGGGAGGCAGCAGAG